GACGAACGCUGGCGGCGUGCUUAACACAUGCAAGUCGAACGGAAAGGCCCUGCGUUUGUUGGGUGCUCGAGUGGCGAAGGGGUGAGUAACACGUGAGUAACCUGUCCUUGACUUUGGGAUAUCUUCAGGAAACUGGGGCUAAUACCGGAUAUGAGCUCCUGCUGCAUGGUGGGGGUUGGAAAAUUUCGGCGGUUGGGGCUUGAUUAGCGGCUUAUCAGCUUGUUGGUGGGGUAGGGGCUUACCAAGGCUUUGACGGGUAGCCGGCCUGAGAGGGUUACCGGCCACAUUGGGACUGAGAUACGGCCCAGACUCCUACGGGAGGCAGCAGUGGGGAAUAUUGCACAAUGGGCGGAAGCCUGAUGCAGCAACGCCGCGUGCGGGAUGACGGCCUUCGGGUUGUAAACCGCUUUCGCCUGUGACGAAGCGUGAGUGACGGUAAUGGGUAAAGAAGCACCGGCUAACUACGUG
rnacentral:rRNA from 1 species